rnacentral:misc_RNA from 1 species
AACGCACAUUGCGCCCCGUGGUAUUCCGGGGGCAUGCCUGUUCGAGCGUCAUUACACCACUCAAGCCUCGCUUGGUAUUGGGCGCCGCGAGUACGUCCGCGCGCCUCAAAGUCUUCCGGCUAGGUUCGAAUCGUCCCUCAGCGUUGUGGCAACUAUUCGCAGAGGAGUUCGAGUCGUCGCGGCCGUUAAAUCCUUCAAAGGUUGACCUCGGAUCAGGUAGGGAUACCCGCUGAACUUAA